rnacentral:rRNA from 1 species
GCGGCAAGAGCUCAGAUUUGAAAUCGUGUUUCGGCACGAGUUGUAGAGUGUAGGCGGGAGUCUCUGUGGAGCGCGGUGUCCAAGUCCCUUGGAACAGGGUGCCUGAGAGGGUGAGAGCCCCGUAGGGUGCUGCGCGAAGCUUUUGAGGCCCUGCUGACGAGUCGAGUUGUUUGGGAAUGCAGCUCCAAGCGGGUGGUAAAUUCCAUCUAAGGCUAAAUAUUGGCGAGAGACCGAUAGCGAACAAGUACUGUGAAGGAAAGAUGAAAAGCACUUUGAAAAGAGAGUGAAACAGCACGUGAAAUUGUUGAAAGGGAAGGGUAUUGGGCUCGACAUGGGGGGUGCGCACCGCUGUCUCUUGUAGGCGGCGCUCUGGGCGCCCUCUGGGCCAGCAUCGGUUCCUGCUGCGGGAGAAGGGGCUCCGGAAAGUGGCUCUUCGGAGUGUUAUAGCCGGGGCCAGAUGCCGCGUGUGGGGACCGAGGACUGCGGCUUCUGUCUCGGAUGCUGGCAUAACGGCGCAAUACCGCCCGUCUUGAAAC